CCACCACUCUCGCGGUCCCUGCUCUCCCGCCUCUCAGUUGCUACGGCGAUGCUCGCAGGAGCGGCUUCCCUAGAGGUGCGCAAGCAGGAUCGAGCGGCACCGGCGAGGAGGAGAAUGCGCCAGCCGGCCCGGCGCUGAGCCACCCCACGUGGCACAGUGCCAGAGGGAUGAUGGGCUGAGACGGCUGCCGACGGAGGAUUGAACACACAAACCUGCCAACUAGUGACUGUGUCACGAGAUAAACGUCACUUGGCAGCGUCAUCUCCCGGAGUGCUCUCGCAGUGAAACACUGAAGGCAAACAGAAAACAAGUUUUAGCACACACACACAAACAUAAAUACACACGCGCACACACAUUCGAAAGAAGUUCAACAUACACGCACAUAUAUAAACAUUCUCGCUUACACGCAAAUGCACAAAAACACGCAGAACACACGCGCGCACAAUCGCAAAUGCAUACGUGCACAUCCGCAUAAAAUGCACACGUAGAUACACACACACAAAGUACAAACACACAUAUCAAUACACACACAUACCACUCCGCAAAUAUACACAUACAUACCAACACACACACAUAUAUUCCUACACACAUAACUCACGUACACAGACACGCACACGCACCAACACUCACACACACACACUGCUCACACACGACUCAG